GACGAACGCUGGCGGCGUGCUUAACACAUGCAAGUCGAACGGUAAGGCUCCAGCUUGCUGGGGUACACGAGUGGCGAACGGGUGAGUAACACGUGGGUAACCUGCCCUGCACUUCGGGAUAAGCCUGGGAAACUGGGUCUAAUACCGGAUAGGACCGCACCGUGAGGGUGUGGUGGAAAGUUUUUUCGGUGUGGGAUGGGCCCGCGGCCUAUCAGCUUGUUGGUGGGGUAAUGGCCUACCAAGGCGGCGACGGGUAGCCGGCCUGAGAGGGUGGACGGCCACAUUGGGACUGAGACACGGCCCAGACUCCUACGGGAGGCAGCAGUGGGGAAUAUUGCACAAUGGGCGGAAGCCUGAUGCAGCGACGCCGCGUGGGGGAUGACGGCCUUCGGGUUGUAAACUCCUUUCACCAUCGACGAAGGGUUUCUGACGGUAGAUGGAGAAGAAGCACCGGCUAACUACGUG
rnacentral:rRNA from 1 species